UACGUAGGGUCCGAGCGUUGUCCGGAAUUAUUGGGCGUAAAGGGCUCGUAGGCGGUUCGUCACGUCGGGAGUGAAAACUCGGAGCUUAACUCCGAGCCUGCUUCCGAUACGGGCAGACUAGAGGUAGGCAGGGGAGAGCGGAACUCCUGGUGUAGCGGUGGAAUGCGCAGAUAUCGGGAGGAACACCGGUGGCGAAGGCGGUUCUCUGGGCCUGUACUGACGCUGAGGAGCGAAAGCGUGGGGAGCGAACAGG
rnacentral:rRNA from 1 species